rnacentral:rRNA from 1 species
AUAUUAAUAAGCGGAGGAAAAGAAACUAACCAGGAUUCCCCUAGUAACGGCGAGUGAAGCGGGAAGAGCCCAGCACCGAAUCGCACGCCGCUUCGGCGUCGCGAACUGUGGUGUUUAGGACGAGCGCAUGCGCGGCGAGACGGCGUCAGAGUCCUCCUGAUCGGGGAUCCCGCAGAAGGUGCAAGGCCUGUGCGGAUGGGGUCCGUAGCGGUAUGAGCCUCCUUGGAGUCGGGUUGCUUGAAAGUGCAGCCCAAAGCGGGUGGUAAACCCCAUCUAAGGCUAAAUAUGACCACGAGACCGAUAGCGCACAAGUA